rnacentral:rRNA from 1 species
GAAUUUUAUAUAAAAUUAUUUAAAUAAAUAUUAAUUAAUUUAAAAAAUAAUUUUUAUAUUUAAUUGGGAGGAUUAUUAAAUUAAUAAAACUUUAAUAUAAAUAAUAAUAUAAAUAAAUAAAUAAUUUAAAGAAUGAUUAUUAAAUUAAAAAGAAAUAAUUACCUUAGGGAUAACAGCGUAAUAUUUUUAGAUAGAUCAUAUAGAUAAAAAUGAUUGC